rnacentral:rRNA from 1 species
GACGAACGCUGGCGGCGUGCUUAACACAUGCAAGUCGAACGGAAAGGCCCUGCUUUUGUGGGGUGCUCGAGUGGCGAACGGGUGAGUAACACGUGAGUAACCUGCCCUUGACUUUGGGAUAACUUCAGGAAACUGGGGCUAAUACCGGCUAGGUGCUCCUGCUGCAUGGUGGGGGUUGGAAAGUUUCCGCGGUUGGGGAUGGACUCGCGGCUUAUCAGCUUGUUGGUGGGGUAGUGGCAUACCAAGGCUUUGAUGGGUAGCCGGCCUGAGAGGGUGACCGGCGACAAUGGGACUGAGAUACGGACCAGACUCCUACGGUAGACAGCAGUGGAGAGUAUUGUACAAUGAGCGGAAGCCUGAGGCAGCAACGCCGCGUGCGGGAUGACGGCCUUCGGGUUGUAAACCGCAUUCGCCUGUGACGAAGCGUGAGUGACGGUAAUGGGUAAAGAAGCACCGGCUAACUACGUG